AGCAGCCGCGGUAAUUCCAGCUCCAAUAGCGUAUAUUAAAGUUGUUGCAGUUAAAAAGCUCGUAGUUGAACCUUAGGCCCGCGCGGGCGGUCCGUCCUCAGGGCGAGCACUGCUCCGUCGCGGGUCUCACCUUCUGGCGAGCGUGGAUGCCAUUUAUUUGGUGUCCGCGGGAACCAGGACCUUUACCUUGAAAAAUUAGAGUGCUCAAAGCGGGCUCUUGCGCUUGAAUACAUUAGCAUGGAAUAAUGAAAUAGGACGAUGGUUCUAUUUUGUUGGUUUCCGGGACCGUCGUAAUGAUUAAUAGGGAUAGUUGGGGGCAUUCGUAUUCAAUUGUCAGAGGUGAAAUUCUUGGAUUUAUUGAAGACGGACUACUGCGAAAGCAUUUGCCAAGGAUGUUUUCAUUAAUCAAGAACGAAAGUUGGGGGAUCGAAGACGAUCAGAUACCGUCGUAGUCUCAACCAUAAACUAUGCCGACUGGGAAUCGGACGAUGUUAUUUUUGUGACUCGUUCGGCGCCCGAG
rnacentral:rRNA from 1 species